rnacentral:rRNA from 1 species
AGGUGAACCUGCGGGAUCAUCUCUGCGUUUUGUACUCAUAACCCUGCUUGACAAGGGUUGGUUCCAGGCGGCGUGACCCUCCCGGCCCCGGACGCCCGGGUGGGUGGGCGCCCGCCGGAGGAAAACCAAAAUUCGAUUUAAGAAGUCUUCUUAUGUCAGGUACAAGCAAAUAAUUAAAAACUUUAACUAUGGAUGUUUUGGUUUUGGCGAAGAAGAAGAAGGCAGGGAAAAAGGAUAAGUAAUGGGAAAAGCCGAAGUCUCAGAAUCUUUGAAUAUUCACACGCCCCCUUCGCCCACUCGCAAUGGCACGGGCAUGCGAGUUUCAGUUUCACCUCCACCCUCAAGCUGGGAUUGGGCAAGGUCCCCUACAGGUCAGGUAGGCCAUCAAUGGGAGACCGGUCCCAGCCGGGAGUCCGUAGUGUAGUAUCUCGCUUCUAGCACUGGGAUCCGGCGGCAGUCCAAUCGUACAACCCGUCAAUUUCCCAAGGUGACCUCGGAUCAGGAGAA